CACACACAAUUUUUUAAAAAAUGCGCGCGCUCACUCAUUCUCUCUCCUCUCACACAAACACACUCUCCCUCCAAAGUUGAACAGCACCGCAAGAGUUCAUCAGCAACCGCCGCCGACGAAUUGUGCAACCGGUAAUUCAGCUUUCGUCUAGUAAGAGGCCGCCAUUUCCCCCGUCAGUACUCAUUAUAUCUCUUUUCCCCCCAAUUUCCGUUUUUGAGGUUUGCGAAAAGCGUAUGAUAUUUUCUAAAUUUAAAUCUCAUGAUAACGGUUUUUGCUAGGGUUUGGUAUGUUAUUUCGAUAAUUGGAUGAUUUAGUAUGUUAGUUGCGAACCUAUUUGUUUCAAUUGUUUGGUUGAUUUGUUAAUAAUUCCGAACUUCGAAAUUUGUCAAGAAUUAGGGCUUGAUUUUUCUCCUGGUUAGCAGUUCCGUAAAAUUUAGUGAUUACUUGAGAUGAUCAGGUGAAUGUGUAAUUCAAUUGUUGAUUGAACUGGUAUGAUUAUUGGAUUGAUUUGGUAAUGAUUAAUGAACUGCUUAUUACUUGGUUGUUAGGUCCGAUUUGACAGUAGGUUGGCGAUUUCGUAUUGUUAGUAUGGAUUGAUUACUGUGAAAUUUGUUGUAGCUUUCGUUGUUAGAGAUGUGAACUUGUUGUGGAGUCGUAGUUACGAAUUACGAUGGUUAUUGUGAAUCUUUGAUAGGUUGGUCAAACCCUAGGUUUGAUGGUCGACUGGCUGUUUUAUAUUCUAGCACGAGAACCAAAAUGCUAACCCUGAUUGUGGCUUUUCUCAUUGUAUGAUUAUGUUAGCAAACUCAAUUUAUUUUCUAUCACAAGUUUGUUAAAUUUUCGACCAUGAGUCCAAAUAGCCUGCAAAGAAACCAAAGAAGGGGAAAAAGAAGGGAAAACCAAGAGCAGUUUAGCUUAGGGGGUGUACGUACUUGUUAGGAAUUUUCGCACAAUUGUCACAAUGUUAAGUGGAGAUUGAGCUUCUUGAUGUUGUAUUGAUGCAUAGGAUUUUGGAUGAACAACAAGGAGAACAAUCAGAAAACUAUAAGGUCAUUAAAUUGCUUUCAUCACUCAUCCUAAUGCUGUAAACUAGCUUAUUGCGUCAGAAUUUGUGGCACAUUCUUCUUCCUUAAAGACACAGAAAUUUAGUGGGAGAAAGGGGAAUUAAUUUAUUGAGAUAAUAUGAAUUCAGCAACUUGUGAAUUUGAUCCUGAAAUUUACAUGCAUCAUCAUCCCCCUUUCAUUCCCUUCAUGUGUAUUUUUUUUUUACCUUAAUGCUGUGGUUUUAUCUUUGAUUGUUUCCGAUAAUGUACUGCUUCAAUGAUCAGCGCUUAAGAUAAUUUAUCCACUUUUCCUACCCGUUGAUUGGUUUACAUGUUACGGAAUGUUGCACCAAGAAUGCAGCUCAGCACAAAUCUAUAUCUCGGAAGACCUUCUAGUCUAAGCCUGUUGACACUUGACAGUGCUUUAACUUUUGAUCCAGACAAGAUAAGGGCGAUUUCGAGUUUAAUCGUAAGAUUCUGAAAGCAUAUGUAGAAUUCGCUUCUGCUGAAAGGGAUUCAAAGCUGAAGUUUUCUCAGGAAGUUGAAUACAGUGCUUGCACCUGAUGAGAAAUCUGAUAUCUCAAGUUCAGUUGAUUUUUUGGUCACUAAUAGCAGUAAAGACUCAAAACAAGAACUGCAGUACACUGAAUUCAAAUGCGGUUGACGUUUCAGCUGGUUUGGUGGAAUACAUUUGGUCGUGUUUAUAGUUGAAGGCUACCAUUCGUUCCCAAACUGCCACUUCCUGCCCUCUCUCAAGGAUAUGGUCUGUGCAAGGACAGUGAUGAAGAAGGCACAGGGGCAACUUCAUGCAUGCAGGGUUUUCUUUUCAAUCUCGGGGAGGAUGGAUAUGGUGUUAGUGUUGCUCGAGAGUCUCAAAAUAACAAUGCCACAUUUUGAAAGUUUUGAGGGGUGCGGCCAUGAGGCUGUUCACUUAAUUCCCUCUGAAGAUCCCAGUUCGGCGGGACAUGUCUGGCUGUUGCUUUAUUGUAUGCCUUUAGUUACAGCAUUACAGGAAUUCUUGCAUAAACGGCGUCAUUUUGCAUCAAACUUUCAACCCUAAACAAAAGAGAGGAAAAAUUAAACGAGUAAAAAGAUUCAUCAAUGGAGUUAGGCAUAGUUAUCAAGAAUGCUUGUAUUAAGAGAUGACCGUGUCAGAGUCUUAACCUCGAUAGGAUGGGGUCAUCUGCAAAAACCGAAUAUUUUAUUUCCAAUGGUCAUCGACAAAGAUUUCAACUCAUGCUGACAUUUAAUUUUCUGCUAGCUUACUGUUUGACAUUUUUGAUAUCAUACUAAUAUAGACUUACUAAAACUUUUACUUCACGAUAUUUAGUAUUAUUAGUUUUAAAAGGAAGCUCAAAACUUAAUGGGCAUAUACUUAUUAGAAUAAGACUUCACUUGUGGGCAUCUAUGAUGCGGGGUUCUGUACUUCUGUAAACUCUACCACUUAGCUUUCCAACUAAGUGAGUAAGUAGGCUAUUAUUAUGUUAUGAAAACAAAAACGUUUGCCUCAAGUUAUGUAUUAAGGGCAUGCGAAUGGUCUUGGGAUUUUCUCAUUUAAUGGUCAUUGCUACUUAUGUGGAA